rnacentral:rRNA from 1 species
AGAUUGAACGCUGGCGGCAUGCCUAACACAUGCAAGUCGAACGGGAGUAGCAAUACUCUAGUGGCGGACGGGUGAGGAAUACGUAGGAAUUUGCCCUUAAGUGGGGGAUAACCCGGGGAAACCCGGAUUAAUACCGCAUGACCUCGAAAGAGCAAAGUGGGGGAUCGCAAGACCUCACGCUUUUGGAGAAGCCUACGUCGGAUUAGCUAGUUGGUGGGUAAAGGCCUACCAAGGCGACGAUCCAUAGCUGGUCUGAGAGGAUGAUCAGCCACACUGGGACUGAGACACGGCCCAGACUCCUACGGGAGGCAGCAGGUGGGGAAUAGUUGGACAAUGGGCGCAAGCCUG